rnacentral:pre_miRNA from 1 species
GUUUUUUUUCUUUUGUGUCGUGAAGCUUUUGAUGCCUAAGAACCCUAGAGCACCAAUUAUUAGAUGUAGUAUUAGUGGCCAAGCACAAAAAAAAAAAAAA